AACGAACGCUGGCGGCAGGCUUAACACAUGCAAGUCGAGCGCCCCGCAAGGGGAGCGGCAGACGGGUGAGUAACGCGUGGGAAUCUACCUUUUGCUACGGAAUAACUCAGGGAAACUUGUGCUAAUACCGUAUGUGCCCUUCGGGGGAAAGAUUUAUCGGCAAAGGAUGAGCCCGCGUUGGAUUAGCUAGUUGGUGGGGUAAUGGCCUACCAAGGCGACGAUCCAUAGCUGGUCUGAGAGGAUGAUCAGCCACACUGGGACUGAGACACGGCCCAGACUCCUACGGGAGGCAGCAGUGGGGAAUAUUGGACAAUGGGCGCAAGCCUGAUCCAGCCAUGCCGCGUGAGUGAUGACGGCCCUAGGGUUGUAAAGCUCUUUCGCAGGUGAAGAUAAUGACGGUAACCUGAGAAGAAGCCCCGGCUAACUUCGUGCCAGCAGCCGCCGUAAUAC
rnacentral:rRNA from 1 species